rnacentral:rRNA from 1 species
UACGUAGGGUGCGAGCGUUAAUCGGAAUUACUGGGCGUAAAGCGUGCGCAGGCGGUUUUGUAAGCCAGAUGUGAAAGCCCCGGGCUUAACCUGGGAAUGGCAUUUGGGACUGCAAGGCUUGAGUGCGGCAGAGGAGACUGGAAUUCCUGGUGUAGCAGUGAAAUGCGUAGAGAUCCGGAGGAACACCGACGGCGCAGGCAGCGUCCUGGCCGCUUGCUGACACUGAGGCACGAAAGCUGGGGGGAGCAAACAGG